UACGGGGGGGGCAAGCGUUGUUCGGAAUCACUGGGCGUAAAGCGCACGUAGGCGGAUGUGCCAGUCAGGGGUGAAAUCCCGGAGCUCAACUUCGGAACUGCCUCUGAUACAGCACGUCUUGAGUCCGGAAGAGGUGGGUGGAAUUCCUAGUGUAGAGGUGAAAUUCGUAGAUAUUAGGAAGAACACCGGUGGCGAAGGCGGCCCACUGGUCCGGUACUGACGCUGAGGCAUGAAAGCGUGGGGAGCAAACAGG
rnacentral:rRNA from 1 species